rnacentral:rRNA from 1 species
UCAAUCAACAAAGAGUAUAUGGUGGAGAUCUAGGGACCUAGAGCCGAUGAAGGGCGUGAUAACCGACGAUAUGCUUCGGGGAGCAGGACGUAUGCUUUGAUCCGAAGAUUCCCGAAUAGGGCAACCUUAAACAUUCCUUCUUGAAUUCAUAGAGAAGAGAAAGACAACCCAGUGAACUGAAACAUCUUAGUAGCUGGAGGAAAAGAAAGCAAAAGCGAUUCCCAAAGUAGCGGCGAGCGGAAUGGGACCAGUCUAAAAGAAAAAUGUAUUUUUCUGGUUUUUGGACCAAACAUGUAGGUAGAGAAAUUCUUGAGAAACGAAGCAGCUGAAUCCUGCGCCAUAGAUGGUGAAAGCCCAGUCGUUGAAUCUUGACUCAAUGCCGUUUGGCUCCCAAGUAGUAUGGGGCACGUGAAACCCCGUAUGAAUUCGCCAGGACCACCUGGUAAGACUAAAUACUCCUAGGUCACCGAUAGCGAAAAGUACCGCGAGGGAAAGAUGAAAAGAACCCCUUUUCGGGGAGUGAAAUAGAACAUGAAACCGUAUACUUACAAUUGGUAGGAGGAUGAACACAUCUGACUGCAUGCCUGUUGAAGAAUGAUCUGGCGACUUACGGUAAGUGGCAUGGUUAAGAUUUUUCAUCGAAGCCAAAGCGAAAGCAUGUCUUAAUAGGGCACUCGUCCCUUAUCGUAGACCCGAACCCAGGUGAUCUAACCAUGACCAGAAUGAAGCUUUGGUGAUACGAAGUGGAGGUUCGAACCGACCGAUGUUGAAAAAUCGACGGAUGAGUUGUGGUUAGGGGUGAAAUGCCAAUCGAACUUGGAGCUAGCUGGUUCUCCUCGAAAUGCGUUGAGGCGCAGCGGUUAUUUAUGAACUCUCAGGGGGUAAAGCUCUGUUUAGGUGCGGGCUGCGAAAGCGGUACCAAUCUUUUGCAAACUCGGAAUACCUGAGAUGAUUUCAAAUAGCCAGUGAGACUAUGGGGGACAAGCUUCAUAGUCGAAAGGGAAACAGCCCAGACCAUCAGCUAAGGCUCCUAAAUAAAAGCUAAGUGGUAAAGGAGGUGAAAAUGCUGUGACAAUCAGGAGGUUUGCCUAGAAGCAGCCACCCUCUAAGGAGUGCGUAAUAGCUCACUGAUCAAGCGUUUUUGCGCCGAAAAUUUCCGGAACUAAGUUUUUUGCCGAAGCUAUGGAUAUAUUAUCUACAUAAUAUGUGGUAGAGGAGCGUUCCGCCCAGGGAGAAGCCAAGCGCGUAAGCCGCGGUGGACCGGGCGGAAGUGAGAAUGUCAGAUUGAGUAACGAAAACACUAGUGAGAAUCUAGUGCCCCGAAAACGUAAGGGUUCCUCUGCAAGGCUCGUCCUCAGAGGGUCAGUCAGGACCUAAGGUGAGGCCGAAAGGCGUAAUCGAUGGAAAGUAGGCUUAUAUUCCUACACCGUUAUUUUAUUAGUCCUGAGGGACGAACAAAUGAAGUCAAAGAAAAAUGCCACCUUGGCAGGUGGACUCCCAUAUUUCUUCUUUCUCCAUUUUUUCCAAGAAAAGCUCAUCGACUUUGAUAAAAUAAUGCCUGUACCGUAAACCGACACAGGUACGUGGGUUGAAUAAACUAAGGGGAGCGAGAUAACUCUCUCUAAGGAACUCGGCAAAUUGGCUCUGUACCUUCGGAAGAAAGAGUGCCCUGCAUAAGGGCCGCAGUGAAGAGAUCCAGGCGACUGUUUACCAAAAACACAGGUCUCCGCAAAGUCGUAAGACGAUGUAUGGGGGCUGACACCUGCCCAGUGCCAGAAGGUUAAAGAAGUUGGUUAGUUUCGACAAAGCUGACGACUGAAGCCCUGGUGAACGGCGGCAGUAACUAUAACUGUCCUAAGGUAGCGAAAUUCCUUGUCGGGUAAGUUCCGACCCGCACGAAAGGUGUAACGAUCUGGAUACUGUCUCAGAGAGAGGCUCGGUGAAAUAAAAAUAUCUGUGAAGAUGCGGAUUACCUGCACGCGGACAGAAAGACCCUAUGAAGCUUUACUGUAACCUGUAAUUGCUAAAUUGGGAUUAUUGAGAACUUUUCAACAAACAAGAAUUUAUGGAAAGCUUAAUUGUAUAGAAAAUAUGCUUAUUAGUCACAAAGGUAGUGACGCAGAUUUAAUGAAAA